GACGAAGGGGCUAGCGUUGUUCGGAAUUACUGGCGUAAAGCGCGUGUAGGCGGUUGCCCAAGUCGGGUGUGAAAGCCUUGAGCUCAACUCAAGAAAUGCACUCGGUACUGGGUGACUAGAGGACCGGAGAGGAUAGUGGAAUUCCCAGUGUAGUGGUGAAAUACGUAGAGAUUGGGAAGAACACCAGUGGCGAAGGCGGCUAUCUGGACGGUUUCUGACGCUAAGACGCGAAAGCGUGGGGAGCAAACAGG
rnacentral:rRNA from 1 species